CAGUCGCCGCGGGAAUACAGAGGGUGCGAGCGUUAAUCGGAUUUACUGGGCGUAAAGCGUGCGUAGGCGGCUUUUUAAGUCGGAUGUGAAAUCCCUGAGCUUAACUUAGGAAUUGCAUUCGAUACUGGGAAGCUAGAGUAUGGGAGAGGAUGGUAGAAUUCCAGGUGUAGCGGUGAAAUGCGUAGAGAUCUGGAGGAAUACCGAUGGCGAAGGCAGCCAUCUGGCCUAAUACUGACGCUGAGGUACAAAAGCAUGGGGAGCAAACAGGAUUAGAGACCCCUGUAGUCCCUGUCUCUUAUAC
rnacentral:rRNA from 1 species